rnacentral:rRNA from 1 species
AUUAGUAUUAGUUAUUUUCUUGAAAAUUAAAGAUUUUGGCGGUAUUUUAGUCUAUUCAGAGGAACCUGUUCUAUAAUUGAUAAUCCACGAUUUACUUUACUUGAAUAGUUUGUAUAUCGUCGUUAUUUUGAAUAUUUUAUAAGAAUUAUAAUUUUCAGUAUUUUUAAUUAGAAUAUAGUUCAGAUCAAGGUGCAGCUUAUAUUUAAGAAGAAAUGGGUUACAAUAAAUUUAUUUGAAUGGUUUAAUAAUUGAAAUUUUAUUAUUAAAUUGGGAAAGUAAUAUUUUUAAUUAAACAAUAUGAUUUUAGCUCUAAAAUAUG